rnacentral:rRNA from 1 species
GAUGAACGCUGGCGGCGUGCCUAAUACAUGCAAGUCGAGCGAACGGACGAGAAGCUUGCUUCUCUGAUGUUAGCGGCGGACGGGUGAGUAACACGUGGAUAACCUACCUAUAAGACUGGGAUAACUUCGGGAAACCGGAGCUAAUACCGGAUAAUAUUUUGAACCGCAUGGUUCAAAAGUGAAAGACGGUCUUGCUGUCACUUAUAGAUGGAUCCGCGCUGCAUUAGCUAGUUGGUAAGGUAACGGCUUACCAAGGCAACGAUGCAUAGCCGACCUGAGAGGGUGAUCGGCCACACUGGAACUGAGACACGGUCCAGACUCCUACGGGAGGCAGCAGUAGGGAAUCUUACGCAAUGGGCGAAAGCCUGACGGAGCAACGCCGCGUGAGUGAUGAAGGUCUUCGGAUCGUAAAACUCUGUUAUUAGGGAAGAGCAUAUGUGUAAGUAACUGUGCACAUAGUGACGGUACCUAAUCAGAAAGCCACGGCUAACUACGUG